GAACGCACAUUGCACUCUGUUUCGGCCGAGUAUGCCUGUUUGAGAAUCUAUAGUAUUCAUUCUCUAAGCUUUGCUACAGAUGUCCUUAGGGGUGUUUGAGGCAAGCGGUGAGAGAUUUGAGGCGUCGCACUUACCCUGCGUGCUUUUAAAACUAUUUUGCUGGAUACCUACAGUAACGGAAAAGUAUGUGUAUGGAACCUCGGUUUCUCUAAUACUAAGUACGGGUGUUGGUGCUAGUCCGGCAAUCAACUAUUAAAGUUGGCCUCUAAGGUUAACUUGAACCAUGGUCUCAAAUCAGGCAGGAAGACCCGCUGAACUUAAG
rnacentral:misc_RNA from 1 species